GAUCCUGGCUCAGGAUGAACGCUAGCUACAGGCUUAACACAUGCAAGCCGAGGGGAAACGACAUCGAAAGCUUGCUUUUGAUGGGCGUCGACCGGCGCACGGGUGAGUAACGCGUAUCCAACCUGCCCACCACUUGGGGAUAACCUUGCGAAAGUAAGACUAAUACCCAAUGAUAUCUCUAGAAGACAUCUGAAAAAGAUUAAAGAUUCAUCGGUGAUGGAUGGGGAUGCGUCUGAUUAG
rnacentral:rRNA from 1 species